GACGAACGCUGGCGGCGUGCUUAACACAUGCAAGUCGAACGAAGUGGCGAACGGGUGAGUAACGCGUAAUCAACCUGCCCUUCAGAGGGGGACAAAAGUUGGAAACGACUGCUAAUACCGCAUACUGAAGGAGGGGAUUGCGUCUGAUUGGCGAGUUGGAGGGGUAACGGCCCACCAAGGCGAUGAUACGUAGCCUGUCUUAGAGGAUGAACGGCCAACUUGGGAACGAGGAACGGCCCAGACUCCCACGGGAGGCAGCAGUGGGGAAUCGUCCGCAAUGGACGAAAGUCUGACGGAGCAACGCCGCGUGAGUGAUGACGGCCUUCGGGUUGUAAAGCUCUGUUAAUCGGGACGCGGUACCGGAAUAGAAGGCCACGGCGAACUACGUGCCAGCAGCCGCGGUAAUAC
rnacentral:rRNA from 1 species